CGUCCACAAAUGAAAAGACUUCCCAAUAAAACUCUCAUCAGGAUAUCAUACGCAGCCGGAUUUUUCACAUGUUCAUGCCUGGCCUGAAUUGCUCUCCUUGUCCAAUCCACUGCCCCCUGCAUCAACAAAGGGAGAAGGAGAUUCUCAGUUUUCAUGGGGCGAUUGGUGGGAGUCUUAGUUUGGGAUGAAAUCAGACACAGAAGGAGGGAGGGGGUUGAUCCUGAUAUAGAUCGUGACCCUCCCACUUGGUACAGUUACUUGUACACAAUUUCAAGAAUGGAAUGCCUGGGCUGGGCAUGUUGUGGUCCGUUUUGAUAGAUCGACUAGUCAAUACAAAAUUGGAACUUUGAGAAAAGGACGCCAAAAGUCCGAAAUCAGUAUUUCCAUUUGAAGAAGGAUGACCAUCUCAGGAGCUUGGAAAUGUCCGUAAAAUCAAGGGAGUCCAUUGUUUUCGCAUGUUCAUACAGAGUUGAGGUCCUGUGUCCGUGGGUGUUCUCCACCCUGCCUCCGGUGUCCUGGUGUCCUUGCGUUGAGUGCUGAUGAGUCAGUGGAGGUGUGAGGGGUCAGUCAGCGCCAGCGUCCCUCCCAUGCUCAGUCACAACAUGAUGGCCACUAAGGGAGAGAUACAAGACCAACCGAGACAAAGUGUCCAUUUACAGACGGUCUGUCCUUUCAUCCUGUGAGGACAAAGCAAGUACAGUGCACACGCACACGCACACACAUGCAGAGAGAGAGAGAGAAAGAAACCUGUCCACACGAAAAAAUCUAGAGAUGUCCAGAAAAGAUUUGCAGUUUGUGAAUAGAUUUGCAAUUUGUGAAAUGUAACACACAAAGGGUCAAUGUUACGGCAGUCUUAGGCAAAGGAAGUCAAACAUGUUCUGGUGUAAA